GGUUCGUUGGUGUAGUUGGUUUAUCACAUCUGUCUCACAUUUCCCGAAAAGCUGGCGAAAAUGUGCACAGGAGGUCCUGAGUUCGAUCCUCAGUCGAACCA